CUUUGAUAUUUUUUCUAUUUUUUUGCCAUGGUAAAUAAUUAAUAUUGUUUUUUGGAAAAAGAUAAAAUAUUUGAACAAGUUCUGGUUUCCUAAAAACGAAAUGAAUAUUUUAUCGUUUUUGAUUUCAUAUAUGUUGAAAUUAAAGACGUGACUUUUUCCCAUUAAAUCCAAGAGUAUGAAUAAUGGUAUGUAUCUGAAUUGAUUAAUGAUAACGACAAAUGUCUUUUCGUUUAGUAUUUGAGUCUUAGAUCGAAUUCAAUAUCGGCUAGAUUUCAAUCAAAGAGAACCAGAUAAGUUAUGUUUUUAAAUCAUGCUAACAACUGAUUUUUUCUUUACUAUGUGUUGUAGAUUGAUUGUUCAAUAAUUAUUUGAACUGUUUGUUUUGUGUAUUUCAAUACGAACGUGUUAAGUAUAAUAUAACUAUUUUUAUUUUACUAUUAAAAAUUCUUCCUAUUUUCAAGUCAUAAUCAGAUUCAGAUUUCCGUCGAUGUUGAUGCAUUGAAUCUCAACCAAUUUCAAUUUAUCAAUGACCACGGAAAUCAAAUCACGUUUGAAUCAUCGAUACAAACACAGAUAUAGGGGUAAAUAAAGUUUAUUUAAAAAAACAAACAGUAUAAUGCCAUGUAGUCAAAUCUCUCAAUGCCGCUGAUAU